UUAGAGAGAGAAAGUGGUGAGAACUCUUUUAGAGAGGAAGAGGGGAGCUUUGAAGAGGCUUGGAGUUUUGAAGAGCUUAGAGAAUUGGUGAGUUCAUCUCGAGUUUCCGAGGGAGGUGAUGUCCCUGAUGUAAGCAAUCUUCCAAAACCUGGAGAGGUGGGGACUAACACGUACAUUGGGGUCAUGCUCACGAGGGGAUAGUAUCUCAAAUGCCUCACCCCUGUCCGAGAACUAAAGUGGCCACUGAGUAUCACUUAUGUGGGUGAUACUAUCUGUUUCAAAUUCGUGAGACCAAGGAGGGUGUACCCAUGGAGGAAGGAAACCGGAUGUCCAUGUUCCACUUUCUUCACUGGGAGCUUAGACCUCCCCAUUCUUGAGAAGAGGAUCACUCUUGGGAAGAGGAUGAUGACAAAUGAGGAUUUGGUGUGGUCUCCUCAUAGCCUUUGAUUUGAAGGCGAGCAUCAGUAUUUGAGGGCUAUUGCUCUUGGACUCUAGAUAUCUUGAGUCAUCAUGAAGAGCACCUGAAGAAAUGCUCUUUACUUGCAGCUUGCCAAUGCUUUGCAGGUUAUUAUGACCGCUACUCAAAUACCAUGAAAGCCCUAUUAGAAUCCUGGAGUUACAUGAGCAACUCUUGAAGUUUUGUUCUCUCUUUUAGAUCUUCACUUCACAGGUGGAUUGCCCAUGCCAGGGGACAUCUAUGAUGAUUUUGUACUAAUCAAUGGGGUGGUUUUUGGGGAUCACCUGAUAGAUAGCAAGUCAUCACCUUCUGAGCUUCAUGAGCUUUUCGAGGUCUAUCAACUUUUGAGCUUAGAGGAGGAAUAUGGGCAUGUAAGCUUUUUGAAGUGGCAAUCUUAUUUUUUUGGGACCCUGAGAGACAAAGGGGAGUUGGGUUAUAGCAUCAACGGUGGGAAGUCUCUUCCUGAUGAGGCCGUUGAUGAGAAGGGAAAAGAGUCGGUAGAAUCAGGGAUUCUACCUCGAAGACCUGCGAAAUAUUAGGUAAAUUUGACAUCUUAUCUGGCUUUAUUUUUAUGCAAAUUUUCUCUCCUGCGGUCGAGAGGUAAUCGCAUUCGGGCCGGAUUCUUGUACAUGGCUUGUGAGAUGGUUGAUGGGCACAAGUAUGCUUUAGUACAACCAGCUUGUGUAAUAUUUACCAUGGCCUGGGGACAAUUGCUUGUGGAAAGGUUAUGAAACCCACAUAGGAGUGUGGACUACCAGAAGAAGAGACUCUCCUUGACCAGUUCAGGAUCGUAUUUCUAGUACACUAUGUUUAUGGGUGGCUCUUGGCAUAUUUCCCUAAGACUUAUCAGGUGAAUGUGCAUUUCUCAGAGUUUUCAUGUCCCCAACUUAUGCGCAUCACAGGGAAGAAGGCCUUCUUUCAAACACCAAGUGAUGCUCAAUGUCUCUUUGGUGGAGACUCCCUUUUUCGGCAUGCUACCCCUUUCCCCAUUGGUGGCCCUAUUGAUCGGGCCUUCUUAGAUGUUUUCAAUGAGAUUAAUGGGGCUCCUACUAAGGCACGCAAGUUGAUGUAUCUUCUGAGCAUAAGGGGGUGCAUCUAGCCUUUUCGCAUGUCUAGUGACAAGAAACUUGAAGCUUAUUACCCCCCUAUUGGUUUGCUAGCCAACACGGCCUUGAUUAGCGGUGUUCAUAUCCCGUGUUUUUUGAAAAGUGGUAUGGGAAGGUGGGCUCUUCGAGGGGUAAGGAUGCCCUUGGUGCAGGGCAUGAGGCAUGGAUAGAGAAGCAUAUGAGAACUGCUUAGGCCACUUUCCUUGAUCUUUCUGGGGUGAGAAAAUUCAUGGUCCCUAAGUAUGGCCACAUUGAUCGAGCAACUGAAGCGUAUUGGAGGAGGUGGAAUACUACCAACCAUUCUUAUUGGCAAGCGAAUCAUACUUGGAAAGGCGAAAAUUGUCUGUGAAGUGGGAGACGAAGCAUGGACAUAAGUAUGCCCCCACCUACUUUCUCAAAGAUCUUUGAGUUGGACUACCCCAAGGAUUAUAAGACAAUUGGUGUCCCUAGGUUGAUGGCCACCGAUGAGAAGUCAUGCGAGUUUCUUUCUCCUUAGGGUAAGACCAAGUCCCCAUUUGAUGGUCUUUGUUAACUUUUUAGAUGGAAGGAGGGGCGUGUUGUAGGAGAGGCGUGUGGUGAGAGGGGCUGAACGCUGGCCCACACAGGACCAAAAAGCCUCGAUUGGUAUUGGGGCUCACUCUGCUCCAGCUGCCAUAUGCCCUUAUGACUGCCAUGAUUGGACAACUAUGGCGAGAAAGGAAUGAAGAAGGGAAAGGAAGCCCCAAAAGAUACUGAAGUUGAAGAAGUUGUGAGGCCUACAGGUUGGGCCUGGAUCCAUCUCGCCUGGUGCACCCUCUCAAACAAUUGCUUGACUGUGCGCGGGUCCCUUGCACGACUGGUGUGUCACUUGCGGAUAGGUAUUUUCAACAAUGAGAGGAUUUUAAUACGAUAAAGAGAUGGACUCGAGCAUAUAACUCACUGCGGUAUGAGUUUGUGGGAUAAGCUGGGGCUAUUUCCCUCUUAGAUCAAUAAAUGAAAGCCUUCCGGCUGUCCAGCAACAUGGUUUGGACACGGGCUUCUCUCAGAACUCAACACUUCACCUCAGCUCUUUCAUAGAAACUGCUAAUGGAAUUCAAAUGAAAA